UCUGUCUACCUUGUCUAUUGUGUCAGAGACCUUCUUUGGCAUGUGUGUGUCUCUUUGUUUUUCUCUCUCAUAAUCGGCAUAAAUCAAAAAAUAUAUCUGGCGAUAAACAAAAAACAUAUUUUUCCACAUAUUUUCCCCAUAAAAACUUAACAAGACCAAUUAUUAUCUAACGAAAGCAACACGACCAACCGAUGAUGGACCUAACUCUGGGCAACAUCUUCUAUUGUUUUCUGACUGUUGCCAUAUUGGCAUUGUUUUUGCUGUUGAUUGUCUAUUUGGUCAAGAGAUUUCGGCAUUGAUGGAGAUACAUAGAUACACAGAAAGAUGCUAGCAAAUGCAAAUAGACGGCGAUGAUAUCCUAUCCACAGAAUUUCAGUAAGAACAUAUUUUUAUAAGCUAAUUUUUAUUACACAUUCGACGAACGAGCGACAAAAGCAAACCAAAGUUUGCGACAAAAAAUCCCCA